ACUCCUACGGGAGGCAGCAGUGGGGAAUUUUGCGCAAUGGGCGAAAGCCUGACGCAGCAACGCCGCGUGAGUGAUGAAGGCUUUCGGGUCGUAAAGCUCUGUCGAGGGGAAAGAAGUGUAUUGUGGCUAAUAUCCACGAUACUUGACGGUACCCCUAAAGGAAGCACCGGCUAACUCCGUGCCAGCAGCCGCGGUAAUACGGGGGGUGCAAGCGUUGUUCGGAAUUAUUGGGCGUAAAGAGCGUGUAGGCGGUUUGUUUAGUCUGAUGUGAAAGCCCUGGGCUCAACCCAGGAAGUGCAUUGGAUACUGGCAGACUUGAAUACGGGAGAGGGUAGUGGAAUCCCUAGUGUAGGAGUGAAAUCCGUAGAUAUUAGGAGGAACACCGGUGGCGAAGGCGGCUGCCUGGACCGAUAUUGACGCUGAGACGCGAAAGCGUGGGUAGCAAACAGGAUUAGAUACCCUGGUAGUCCACGCCGUAAACGAUGAGAACUAGGUGUCGCGGGUA
rnacentral:rRNA from 1 species